AGGGUUCGAUUCUGGCUCAGGAUGAACGCUGGCGGCGUGCUUAACACAUGCAAGUCGAACGGGAUCCAGGCAGCUUGCUGCCUGGUGAGAGUGGCGAACGGGUGAGUAAUGCGUGACCGACCUGCCCCAUACACCGGAAUAGCUCCUGGAAACGGGUGGUAAUGCCGGAUGCUCCGACUCCUCGCAUGGGGUGUCGGGAAAGAUUUCAUCGGUAUGGGAUGGGGUCGCGUCCUAUCAGGUAGUCGGCGGGGUAACGGCCCACCGAGCCUACGACGGGUAGCCGGCCUGAGAGGGCGACCGGCCACAUUGGGACUGAGAUACGGCCCAGACUCCUACGGGAGGCAGCAGUGGGGAAUAUUGCACAAUGGGCGCAAGCCUGAUGCAGCGACGCCGCGUGCGGGAUGACGGCCUUCGGGUUGUAAACCGCUUUUGAUCGGGAGCAAGCCUUCGGGUGAGUGUACCUUUCGAAUAAGCACCGGCUAACUACGUGCCAGCAGCCGCGGUAAUACGUAGGGUGCAAGCGUUAUCCGGAAUUAUUGGGCGUAAAGGGCUCGUAGGCGGUUCGUCGCGUCCGGUGUGAAAGUCCAUCGCUUAACGGUGGAUCUGCGCCGGGUACGGGCGGGCUGGAGUGCGGUAGGGGAGACUGGAAUUCCCGGUGUAACGGUGGAAUGUGUAGAUAUCGGGAAGAACACCAAUGGCGAAGGCAGGUCUCUGGGCCGUUACUGACGCUGAGGAGCGAAAGCGUGGGGAGCGAACAGGAUUAGAUACCCUGGUAGUCCACGCCGUAAACGGUGGAUGCUGGAUGUGGGGCCCGUUCCACGGGUUCCGUGUCGGAGCUAACGCGUUAAGCAUCCCGCCUGGGGAGUACGGCCGCAAGGCUAAAACUCAAAGAAAUUGACGGGGGCCCGCACAAGCGGCGGAGCAUGCGGAUUAAUUCGAUGCAACGCGAAGAACCUUACCUGGGCUUGACAUGUUCCCGACAGCCGUAGAGAUACGGUCUCCCUUCGGGGCGGGUUCACAGGUGGUGCAUGGUCGUCGUCAGCUCGUGUCGUGAGAUGUUGGGUUAAGUCCCGCAACGAGCGCAACCCUCGCCCUGUGUUGCCAGCACGUCAUGGUGGGAACUCACGGGGGGACCGCCGGGGGUCAACUCGGAGGAAGGUGGGGGAUGACGUCAGAUCAUCAUGCCCCCUUACGUCCAGGGCUUCACGCAUGCUACAAUGGCCGGUACAACGGGAUGCGACAUGGCGACAUGGAGCGGAUCCCUGAAAACCGGUCUCAGUUCGGAUUGGAGUCUGCAACCCGACUCCAUGAAGGCGGAGUCGCUAGUAAUCGCGGAUCAGCAACGCCGCGGUGAAUGCGUUCCCGGGCCUUGUACACACCGCCCGUCAAGUCAUGAAAGUGGGUAGCACCCGAAGCCGGUGGCCUAACCCCUUGUGGGAUGGAGCCGUCUAAGGUGAGACUCGUGAUUGGGACUAAGUCGUAACAAGGUAGCCGUACCGGAAGGUGCGGCUGGAUCACCU
rnacentral:rRNA from 1 species